UGAACGCUAGCGGCAGGCCUAACACAUGCAAGUCGAACGGUAACAUAGAUUGCUUGCAAUCUGAUGACGAGUGGCGCACGGGUGCGUAACGCGUAUGCAAUCUACCUUUUACAGGAGAAUAGCCCAGAGAAAUUUGGAAUAAUGCUCCAUAAUAUCAUUUAUCAGCAUUGGUUUAUGAUUAAAGCUCCGGCGGUAAAAGAUGAGCAUGCGUUCUAUUAGCUAGUAGGUGAGGUAACGGCUCACCUAGGCUACGAUAGAUAGGGGCCCUGAGAGGGGGAUCCCCCACACUGGUACUGAGACACGGACCAGACUCCUACGGGAGGCAGCAGUGAGGAAUAUUGGACAAUGGAGGAAACUCUGAUCCAGCCAUGCCGCGUGCAGGAUGACUGCCCUAUGGGUUGUAAACUGCUUUUAUAUAGGAAGAAACACUCCCACGUGUGGGGGCUUGACGGUACUAUAGAAUAAGGAUCGGCUAAC
rnacentral:rRNA from 1 species